AUGAACUAAUAAAGUAAUAAACUCUGAAAUCAAUAACAUGAAACUAAUAAGAUCUGUCCAAAAUAUUCAAAAUCGAGAAAUCUCUCUUGGCGCCAGAUUGAUAACCUUCCCUCUCACCAAGAGCGCAACUAACACCCAGUCGUCACUCACUCUACGCCGGUCAGAAGUUAUCAUCAUUGUCUUCUCCACUCACAGUUUCAAAAUUUCCGUCACCAUCUCUUAAGCAAAACGCGAUCAGAGGCGAAGGGAGUGCGUGGAACAUCAUCUUCGUUUGUUGCUGCUGUUAUCUAUGUUUUGUUCCAUUUGGAAUUGCGUUCAGUUGUAGAUCAGAGAGGAGGAGGACUUCAAUUCAGGACAUGGGAGGUGGAACGUCAAUAAUAAGAUAUCGAAUUUGCUUGGGAAGUCUGAUGGAAAGAGACGUAUUCCUAACAAAAUCAAGAAAAGAGGCAAUUUUCAAACUGUGGUAUCCACUUUUCUAUUGUCUGCUAUUAUUAGUCACAAUUUGUCUUAAGUGAGGUUGUUUCCAUAAUAAAUUGUAAAUGAU